GGCGGGGCUAAAUGAUAUCAGGGCGGGGCUAGAAUGCCGGGUAAUUGCUGCAUGGGAAGCAGGAUGGAGUCCCUGCUUCCCCAACAACCAAAAUCCAGGAGCUACACUACUUCCUCCUAUAUAAUGAAUAGAGGUAACUAUGUGUGACUGUCUGUGUGUGUGUGUGUGUGUGUGACUGUCUUCCUCUGUGUGUGUGUGUGUGUGAGUGACUGUCUUCCUCUGUGUGUGAGUGACUGUCUGCCUGUGUGUGUGUGUGUGUGUGUGUGUGUG